rnacentral:misc_RNA from 1 species
GGUGGCGGGGUCCUUGGGCUCCAUGGGAUCGCUGUCGGCUGGUCUGUCCAGCUCCUCACCGUCGUCGUCGUCCCCACCAGGAGCCUCGAUGCUUGAUUCCUCGGACGUUGAUGCCCUGGCCCUGGCAAUGGCCCAACUGCAAGGAUCAUGUGGGGGGAUGCAACCUCAGCAGCAGCAGCCUGGUGGAAACUCGAAACCUCGAAAGAAUGGACAGAGAAAAUCCGAGGCAAUGGUGAGCUCGCAAGGACCUACCUGAGCCACGCAUUACACACGGAACUGCCAGAUGGCACAGUUGUCGUGACUUGUGAAGUCCUCCGAAGUCUCAAGUGUGAGUUGUGCGGUGCGAGUGGUGACGUAGCGCAUACUCGCUCACACUGUCCAUUCAAUCACGGACCAUCUGUGGCCGUAUUAUUAAAGAAUACGCCCAGGAGAUGUGAUGGAACAUUGAGAAAAAAAAACAGGAAGUGAUUGUGAAUGUGUGAGUUUCAUGUUAGAGAAACUUGCGAAUGCAUGUUCUGUGUUACAAUGACAUUCUAUGUGCUGUGCCCUCUAUGCUGAAAGCUUAUUACAAAAAUCAUGGUUUAUUGAGUCAAAAAUUAUGUUAUUAUGACUUAUUUUGUUUGCAUUUUGUUCAAUAAGAAUAAGGGCCAUAUUGAGACAAACUUACGAAUGCAUAAAAGUAUGAAUGCCUUAUGAAUAAACUUUUGUUCUGAACUUUCUUUUCCUAUGAAUUCAAAUUACCUGCAUUCACACAAGCACCACUACUCAGAAAUGGCCAAGGGCAGUUAGUACCAAGCAACCAACUACAUAUGGCACACUUAAACACUAACCUGAACAGAAAGAAUUAAAAUUUAAGUAUCUGUUAUUGACCUCAGCCAAGUAAAAUAAUCUCAAUCUCUGGGUUAAAUACUUUUAAACUAGGAAAAUAGUUACAGUACUUCUCCUGAAGAGAGUAUGGUCAUGGCCAACCAAGCUGAUUUUGAGAUGUCUGUGUGGUUCGAGAUGUCUGUGUGGAAACUAAAAACUGGCCACAGCUUGGAUAACAGCUGUUCAAAUCAAAUACCCUGGGUAACUUGCUUUAGAGAGUACCAUCAGAGUUGAUGGUCCUGGUGAAGGGCGACACCCCACAAGAGGGUGGAUGGGCUGGGGCGGUU